rnacentral:misc_RNA from 1 species
AAAGAGGAAAAAUGCACAAAUUAGCAUAUAUCAAAUCAAUAUUUUCAAUUGAUUAUUAUGAAUUUGAAUGCCAUUGUUUUAUUUUUUUUCUACCUCCACCCAGUGCAGAGGGAAUGGGUUAUGGCGGAGCCUGUGGGGGCUUCACUGGACAAUAGAAGUUGAGUCGCACUGGUAGUCAUGGUGGCAGGUGGAGUAAAACAUAGAUUGUGGGCUGCUGGGAUGAGAGGUUUCGAUGGAAGGAUGGCAGCAGAGGGAGGCGUAGCCGAAAAUGAGAAUCCUGAUGAUGCUGCAGUAGAGAACAAUGUCAUUGGGGUAGCAGUAACCUGACCGUGCAUUUGCCACGCCCAUUUGGGGAGUCCCUGUGAAGAACUUAAUUCAAUUCUCUUAUCUGGAGCCCUUUCCUCGUUUGGAAAGAAACUAGGAUAUACGCUGUUCCAUAGCACUGGAUGAUCUGACAUUAUUGGCCCUUUCAAAGGCAGAUCACCCGCCACUAAAGCUGUUGAGUUCUCCCUAGAACUCUUGCUGUCCAUGUCAUAAGGGCCCAAGUGGAACUGCAGACACCCCUUAUUUUCCUUCGGGCCAUCGCCUAAAGAAUGGGAUAUCCCCAAGUUCAGAUCAAGAUUGUGUUCACUACCUUCGUUACUGGCUUCAGAGAUCAUUUCCCCUUCAUAUGUACUUGGCUCAAAGUUGGUCACUGCCUCCCUUCCAUUAAAUUUGAUAGCUGCCUUGUCAUAAGCCUUUUUGCCAAGGAAUUGCCCCAUUCUUGCUUCCCAUCGGCCACACUUAUGCAGUGUCACCCCUCGAUAUUUUGA